UGAACGCUGGCGGCAUGCCUAACACAUGCAAGUCGAACGGAAACGAUGGGAGCUUGCUCCCAGGCGUCGAGUGGCGGACGGGUGAGUAAUACUUAGGAAUCUGCCCAUUAGUGGGGGACAACAUUCGGAAACGGAUGCUAAUACCGCAUACGCCCUACGGGGGAAAGCGGGGGAUCUUCGGACCUCGCGCUAAUGGAUGAGCCUAAGUCGGAUUAGUUUGUUGGUGAGGUAAUGGCUCACCAAGGCGACGAUCCGUAGCUGGUCUGAGAGGACGAUCAGCCACACUGGGACUGAGACACGGCCCAGACGCCUACGGGAGGCAGCAGUGGGGAAUAUUGGACAAUGGGCGCAAGCCUGAUCCAGCAAUGCCGCGUGUGUGAAGAAGGCCUGCGGGUUGUAAAGCACUUUCAGUAGAGAAGAAAAGCCUACGGUUAAUAACCGUGAGUCUUGACGUAACCUACAGAAGAAGCACCGGCUAACUCC
rnacentral:rRNA from 1 species